ACGACCACACCGGUUUUCGUAAAAUCACCGAAGCUAAGCAACGUCGAGUCCGGUCAGUAACUAGAUGGGUGACCACUUCGGAAUACUAGGUGCAGUA